ensembl:lncRNA
AUGCGGAUAAGCUGCCCAACGACCUGGAUGUGGAUAUGUACAUGGAGGACCUUCAGUGCGAUGUGGACUACAUCAUCAGCACCGACCUCAUGGACGGAGAAGGGCUGGAUUUCAACUUCGAGCCCCUUCCGCCCACCCCCAGCUACCCGAGCACGUCCCAGGCCUCCAAUCACAGUUGGGUCCCCAGCUAACUUCGUAUGGACAAAGUGCCCUUCUGCUUCAGGAGCUUUUCACCCCCAGAAGCGCCUGGAAGGCCAGGAGCUCUUGGUGCCCGCCUGGGCCUCGCCAGGGGGAUCCUGUCCAGUGCCACAUCUUUUCAUGAAUCCAGCCUACGCCCUUCUGCCAGCAGGAGCCUCGCAGUGCUUCGCCACGGCCAGACCAGACCCUCCCUGUGCCGGAGGAGAGGCCUUGGCAAACGGACGACGGGCCUGGACUCACCAGCCGAUUUCUGCCUCGCCCGUCACUGGACUCGNNNNNNNNNNNNNNNNNNNNNNNNNNNNNNNNNNNNNNNNNNNNNNNNNNNNNNNNNNNNNNNNNNNNNNNNNNNNNNNNNNNNNNNNNNNNNNNNNNNNGGGGGGGGGGGGGCAGCUGUCCCCUGGAGCGAGGAGACCCGGACAGUCCUGGCCCAGAGGCCCUUCUGGAGAUGCCAGCCUGCCCUCCCCGCCUGGCCUCUGGAGGGCCCCACCUGGGCCUGGUCACGGCAGGGGCUGCCCUCAGGCAAGCAAGCAGGUGCUCGAAGCCAUGGCUGAGAAACCAAAGCGCCUUCUCUGGGUUCGUCCCUGGGCUGCAGUAGAGAAACCAGAGACCCGGACUGGCCUUAACCAAAGCCCUGAUCAGUGUCGGAUUAUUAUUAUCAUCUUCUUCUUCUUCUUCUUCUUCUUCUUCUUCUUCUUCUUCUUCUUCUUCUUCUUCUUCUUCUUCUUCUUCUUCUUCUUCUUCUUCUUCUUCUUCUUCUUCUUCUUCUUCCUUCUUCCUUCUUCCUUCUUCUUCUUCUUCUUCUUCUUCUUUUCUUCUUCUUCCUCCUCCUUCCUCCUUCCUCCUUCCUCCUUCCUUCUUCUUCUAUUCCUCCUCCUCCUCCUCCUCCUCCUCCUCCUCCUCCUCCUAUUUCUUCUAUUUCUCCUCCUCCUCCUUUUUUUUCUAACCUGGAAGGGCAUUUUAUACAGAUGGACUGUUUUGGUGGCGUUUUUCUAUCUUUCCCUCUCUCGUUUGGACGAGGCUUUUUGUGGUCGCCUCGGCCCCCUUUUACACGUCUCUGUGUCCAGUGCCUUUUCUCCCCUCCCUGGGCCCGUCAGCAGCUGCGCUACCCCCAGCUGUCUCCAGCACAGGAAGGCAGCUUCGGGCGGGGGCGGGGGGGGGUGCUUUUUGGCUGGGCGGGGUGGGGGGGAAGGGGCGCCAGGCCAGCCUUGUUCUUUGGAAUUGGGGCAGAGGAGGGGGCUGUAGAUAAAAUGCCUGUAAAGUUAGCAGCAGAUUAACUAGAAGCUUUCAUUAAACAAAAAAUGGGGAAGGGGGGGGAGAAAAUCCUGUAUAUUUUAACGGAAAAUCCUAUGAAAUGAUUGGCUAAAAGUAAAGGACAUUUUCUUUCAGCUUUAUAAGUUUUGGUACCAGAGAGAACACUAACGUGGACAAUGCCGGGAGCUGAGCUGAGGAAUGGAUGGGGGGGGGCAAGGGGGAGGGUUUAGCUAAGACCGAAAGAGCCCCCCUUCUCUGAGGAGGGGGAGUCCGAGCCCCCUGGAAACACAAGGCCUCUUGGAUCCCUGGCUGGAGUUUUGGGUGCUCCAAGCCUUGAGGUCGGAAGGUCGCAGCUGCCCCCUUGGGUUAGGGGGAGCCCUUGACCUCUCAGUGCAGGAGGUCCCUGUGGGAGAGGACAGCUGGGGGGGCGGGGGGGGGCGGCUCUGCUUAGGGUUGACUCGGCUGUGCAGCCUGCCUGGCCCUACUCAGAGUGCAGCUCCGGCUUUGCCCUCAGGGGAUCCGGCCUCCCCUGAAAAGGCCCCCAGUAGGGAGGGUGGCAGGAACAAAGGGCACCAGAGGCUAUUUCCCCAGUAUUAUUACCCCCCCCCCCCCUCCCUCCCUCGCGAGGGGAGGUGGGCCAUGGCCAGGCUUGGGGGUUUCCCAGCAGGGCUGAAAGGGAGGAGAAGGUGGGCUUCCAGUCUAACCUUCCAGCUCCUCCAGCGAGGCAGCUUCCACCCUUCCUUCCCUUCUCUUCCUGCAGCUGCCCAGAGCCAUUUGUGGGGAAUGCGUGGAAAGGCCCAAAAGAUGCGGGCAGGAGGGGUGGCUUGUCCCCCUGCGUAAGAGGGGCACACCCCUACAUCCAGUUCCUUCGUCAGGACCCUCGCCUGUCCUGCUUUGGGACGGGGGGGGGGCCCUGUCAGAGGAGUGGGUCCAGUGGGAAAGAAAGGGGCGCCAACUGGGAGAGUGCCUGCCCUGGCCUCCCUCUGCCAGGAACCCAGUUACGCCAGUUGGCUUCUCCCAAGCCAGGACCGGUUAAUGAUGGGAACACCCUUGCAUGGUCCAGGGAUCCUGGUGGGUCUCGGGGAGAACCUUGCAUGGAGCUGCAGGAAGAGCGGCGGCGGAGGUCCCCAGCCAUCCCGGUCGGGGGCGUCCCCAAAAUGCUUCCCAGAAGAGAAUGGGACAUCCGUCCUUGGCUUCCUCCUCCUGGAAAACACUCCGCUUCUCUCUCGGUUCUGAAGAAACUUCUUGGAUGAGAAGCAAGACAUUUUUCAAGGAAAAAAACAGGGGGUCCCCUUGCCUUUUGGGGAGGUGGGGGAAGCCCCUCUGGGGCCAGAGAUACAGGCGCAAGUCACAAGCCGAAUGUCGGGGGGCGAAUCAGUCUGUGAAGGUUUGCAGGCAUCGCAUCCCCCCCCCUUACGGCUGAGCCUUUGGGGGGGGGGUCAGCCCUCUGCCCCGUGUGAAGGAGGAACCUCCCCCACCCCGUGCUUUUGGGGUGCCCCCCUUUUCAAGGAGAGGGUGCUUCUGCUUUGAGGGAGAGGGGAAGGCAGCCAUGGGUCUUCUGUGGCAGGAGGAAUGGGAUCUGCUGGGAUCCAGGACAGGAUCCACGAGGAUCUUAGGGGCUGCACGAGCUCUUCCCCCCCCCCCCCCCCAAUGCUGCUGGGGAUCCGAGGCUACCUUCCUGCCCUUGGGCACCGCUUCUCCCCCUCCCGUGCUUGCUUGGCUUGGCCAUGGGCUGGGGGCGCUGGGGGGGGGGGGGGGGGGGCUGGCCUGAGGAGGAGGAGGAGGCGCCUUCCGGCUGGCCUCUUCCCAGAGCAGAGGGAGGAAGGGGGGUGGGGGGUGCCUGCUGUGAGGCUGGAGAGGAGCGGCUGGGCCCCACUCCUCCCCCCCCAGGCAUUCGCCCCCCCCCCCCCCCCCCCCCCCCCCCCCCCCUCAGUUUUUGUGGAUUUGCUGGAGGGCAAAAUGUGACAAAUAAACCUUUAUAAUCUUCUGUCUCCUCCGCCGUC